CCUACGGGGGGCAGCAGUAGGGAAUCUUCCACAAUGGACGAAAGUCUGAUGGAGCAACGCCGCGUGAGUGAAGAAGGGUUUCGGCUCGUAAAGCUCUGUUGGGAGUGAAGAAAGAUAGAGGUAGGAACUGGCCUUUAUUUGACGGUAAUUACUUAGAAAGUCACGGCUAACUACGUGCCAGCAGCCGCGGUAAUACGUAGGUGGCAAGCGUUGUCCGGAUUUAUUGGGCGUAAAGCGGGUGCCGGCGGUUCUAUAAUUCUGUU
rnacentral:rRNA from 1 species